rnacentral:rRNA from 2 species
UAGGGAAUCUUCCGCAAUGGGCGAAAGCCUGACGGAGCAACGCCGCGUGAGUGAAGAAGGUCUUCGGAUCGUAAAGCUCUGUCUUCAGUGACGAAAAUGACGGUAACUGAGGAGGAAGCCACGGCAAACUACGUGCCAGCAGCCGCGGUAAUACGUAGGUGGCGAGCGUUGUCCGGAAUUACUGGGCGUAAAGCGCGCGUAGACGGCUAGAUAAGUCAGAUGUGAAAGACCCGGGCUCAACCUGGGGGCUGCAUCUGAGACUGACUAGCUUGAGUGCAGGAGAGGCAAGUGGAAUUCCCAGUGUAGCAGUGAAAUGCGUAGAGAUUGGGAGGAACACCAGUGGCGAAGGCGACUUGCUGGACUGUAACUGACGUUGAGGUGCGAAAGCUAGGGGAGCAAACGGG